GCUUCCAUCAGAACUCCGCAGUUAAGCGUGCUUGGGCGAGAGUAGUACUAGGAUGGGUGACCUCCUGGGAAGUCCUCGUGUUGCACCCCUCCCUUUUU
rnacentral:rRNA from 1 species